rnacentral:rRNA from 1 species
CACGUAGGGCGCAAGCGUUGUCCGGAAUUAUUGGGCGUAAAGAGCGUGUAGGCGGCCAGGUAGGUCGGUUGUGAAAACUGGAGGCUCAACCUUCAGAGGUCGACCGAAACCAUCUGGCUAGAGUCCGGGAGAGGAGAGUGGAAUUCCUGGUGUAGCGGUGAAAUGCGCAGAUAUCAGGAAGAACACCCGUGGCGAAAGCGGCUCUCUGGAACGGUACUGACGCUGAGACGCGAAAGCGUGGGGAGCGAACAGG